rnacentral:rRNA from 1 species
UACGGGAGGCAGCAGUGGGGAAUAUUGCACAAUGGGCGAAAGCCUGAUGCAGCUAUGCCGCGUGUAUGAAGAAGGCCUUAGGGUUGUAAAGUACUUUCAUCGGGGAGGAAAAAACAAAACUAAUAAUUUUAUUUCUUGACGUUACCCGAAAAAGAAGCACCGGCUAACUCCGUGCCAGCAGCCGCGGUAAUACGGAGGGUGCUAGCGUUAAUCAGAAUUACUGGGUGUAAAGAGCACGUAGGUGGUUUUUUUAAGUCAGAUGUGAAAUCCCUGGGCUUAACCUAGGAACUGCAUUUUGAAACUGAAAUACUAGAGUAUCGUAGAGGGAGGUAGAAUUCUAGGUGUAGCGGUGAAAUGCGUAGAUAUCUGGAGGAAUACCUGUGGCGAAAGCGGCCUCCUAAACGAAUACUGACACUGAGGGUGCGAAAGCGUGGGGAGCAAACAGGGAUUAGAUACC